rnacentral:misc_RNA from 1 species
GUGCUGUAGAGAUUUCACGUCGCGUAUGUUUCUGCUUAUACUGCUCGCUGUAUCAACUAUUGAACUGUACUACUACUUGAACUUGCUCGUUUAUUGGAUAUUUCUUUUUGGCUCCUUGUUUGAUACAUGUCUCUUUUAUCUUGGUUGUUUCUUUGCUGCUUGUCAUCGGCAGAGCAAUAACUAAUAGAAAGCUUUGUAAAAUAAAAUUUUGUUAAAUCAAAA